rnacentral:rRNA from 1 species
GAUGAACGCUAGCGGCAGGCUUAACACAUGCAAGUCGAGGGGUAGAGAUAGCAAUAUCUUGAGACCGGCGCACGGGUGAGUAACACGUAUGCAAUUUGCCCUUAACUGGGAAAUAGCUCGGCGAAAGUCGAAUUAAUGUCCCAUAUAAUUACUGAAUGGCAUCAUUUAGUAAUGAAAGCUCCGGCGGUUAAGGAUGAGCAUGCGGGUCAUUAGCUAGUUGGUAGGGUAACGGCCUACCAAGGCUACGAUGACUAGGGGUUCUGAGAGGAAGGUCCCCCACACUGGUACUGAGACACGGACCAGACUCCUACGGGAGGCAGCAGUGAGGAAUAUUGGUCAAUGGGCGCAAGCCUGAACCAGCCAUGCCGCGUGAAGGAAUAAGGCCCUAUGGGUUGUAAACUUCUUUUGUAAGGGGCGAAUCCCGGGUACGUGUACCCGGCUGACGGUACCUUACGAAUAAGCAACGGCUAACUCCGUGCCAGCCGCCGCCGUAA